rnacentral:rRNA from 1 species
AACGAACGCUGGCGGCAUGCCUAACACAUGCAAGUCGAACGAGACCUUCGGGUCUAGUGGCGCACGGGUGCGUAACGCGUGGGAACCUGCCCUUAGGUUCGGAAUAACUCCCCGAAAGGGGUGCUAAUACCGGAUAAUGUCUUCCGACCAAAGAUUUAUCGCCUUUGGAUGGGCCCGAGUUGGAUUGGCUAGUUGGUAGGGUAAAAGCCUACCAAGGCGACGAUCCAUAGCUGGUCUGAGAGGAUGAUCAGCCACACUGGGACUGAGACACGGCCCAGACUCCUACGGGAGGGCGCAGUGGGGAAUAUUGGGCAAUGGGCGAAGGCCUGAUCCAGCAGUGCGGGGUGAGUGAUGUAGGCGUUAGGGUUGUAAAGCUCUUUUACCCGGGAUGAUAAUGACGGUACCGGGAGAAUAAGCUCCGGCUAACUCCGUG